GGAGAGAUGGCAGAGUUGGUCGAUUGCGUCUGAUUUGAAAUCAGAUAAAUUUUUAGGAAUUUCGAGGGUUCGAAUCCCUCUCUCUCCUUA
rnacentral:tRNA from 1 species